CGCAUCUGUGCAUGCAGCAUAUCAAUAAGCGGAGGAAAAGAAACUAACAAGGAUUCCCUCAGUAACGGCGAGUGAAGCGGGAAGAGCUCAAAUUUGAAAUCUUGAAAGGUCACCUUUCACGAAUUGUAGUUUAAAGAAGUGUUUUCUGUUACGAUCGUAAUAUAAGUUCUUUGGAAUAGGACAUCACAGAGGGUGAGAAUCCCGUCUAUGAUUGCGAUUUGUAGCUUUGUGAUACACUUUCAAAGAGUCGGGUUGUUUGGGAAUGCAGCCCAAAACGGGAGGUAAAUUUCUUCUAAGGCUAAAUAUUGGCGAGAGACCGAUAGCGAACAAGUACCGUGAGGGAAAGAUGAAAAGAACUUUGAAAAGAGAGUUAAAUAGUACGUGAAAUUGUCAAAAGGGAAGCGUUUAACACCAGUGUUGUUUUCUGAAAAUCAACCUCUGUUAGCUUUAUGCAUGUUUGUUUAGACCUAAUCAGCUAUCUUGCAUGUUCUAUUGUUUGCAGUGGUGCACUUUUCAGUUUACAGGUCAACAUCAGUUUUUUUUACCGUAAAAAAGUUAAAGAAAGGUAGCUCAUGGCUCCGGUCGUGAGUGUUAUAGUCUUUUUCCUAUGCGGUAGGAGAGACUGAGGUCUGCAGUGUAGGCUAUUUGGCUAGAUACUCAGGUGCUAUGUGAUACCAUUUCAUAAACAACUUGUUGAUUAUGUUUUGUCUAUUGCAUACUCGCUUGUACUAUCAUACCUACGCUUAGGAUGUUGACGAUCAGCUGACGCG
rnacentral:rRNA from 1 species